rnacentral:lncRNA from 1 species
CAGACUUCCUAGGUAGCUCUGAAACAGGUGGUCUGUAGACCACACUUUAAGAAUUAUCUUCAAGGAUUGGGCUAGUUUUAGUUUGUAGUGAUUUCUUGUGUCUCUUAAUGAAGGCCUAGACAAUAUAGUCUGGAUUGAUUGGAUAAACACAGAGGAACAAGAGAGCGGCAGAAUUGUACCAUGCAUGCAGCAGGCCAUGCUCUACACGGGCCUCUCAGGAUGCAGCAGAGAGGUACCCUGGAUAUACAGGCUUUUUGGAAUACUGAUGUGAGUGUAGAGGCCAGAAAAAUGAAGCUAGGUGGUAUUGGAGGAGAAUCUCUGAAGACUGCUCUCAGUAGGCUGACAACAAGUUAAGAUGAAUGUGUAACUGUUUUCUACAUUCUUCUUACUGCUAUAAAAAUAAUUGAAAUGCAGAAUGCUUAACUUCAUUCAGCUGUAAGCCUUGUAAGAACA